rnacentral:rRNA from 1 species
GGCGGACGGGUGAGUAACGCGUAUGCAACCUGCCUGACACAGGGGGAUAAUCCGAAGAAAUUUGGUCUAAUACCCCAUAAUACCGAUAUAGGCAUCUAUGUUGGUUGAAAGCUUUGGUGGUGUCAGAUGGGCAUGCGUUGUAUUAGCUAGUUGGUGAGGUAACGGCUCACCAAGGCGACGAUACAUAGGGGGACUGAGAGGUUAACCCCCCACACUGGUACUGAGACACGGACCAGACUCCUACGGGAGGCAGCAUG